UACGUAGGGUGCGAGCGUUAAUCGGAAUUACUGGGCGUAAAGCGUGCGCAGGCGGUUCGUUGUGUCGGUGGUGAAAGCCCCGGGCUUAACCUGGGAAUGGCCAUGGAAACUGGCGAACUGGAGUGUGGCAGAGGGGGGUAGAAUUCCGCGUGUAGCAGUGAAAUGCGUAGAGAUGCGGAGGAACACCGAUGGCGAAGGCAGCCCCCUGGGCUGACACUGACGCUCAGGCACGAAAGCGUGGGGAGCAAACAGG
rnacentral:rRNA from 1 species